AAUUCGUAACUAACACUUUGUCAUUCAACUCUCUCCCCUGAAUCUCAUUCGCCACUCUCACUUACGUAGGAUAAAAAAACAUGUAGAAUGUCAUGUAGGACAUGUGUGUCCAUUUGUUCAAGUUUAUACAAGUUUAAGUAUCUACUUGUGCACACCCAAAGUUGAAGAGUAUAAUUGUGAAUUGAAGCCAAGUUAAAGGGUAUAUUUAUGUAAAAAUACAUAAGUAUUCACUCAACCUAUGUCUGACAUCACAGAUACACACUUAUACUAUACUUAAGUCUUAUUACCCUCUAAUUUUUUUUAUA
rnacentral:misc_RNA from 1 species